rnacentral:rRNA from 1 species
CCCUUAGAUGUUCUGGGCUGCACGCGCGCUACACUGACACUAUCAACGAGUGCUCCUGGUUUGAAAGGAUCGGGUAAUCUUUUGAAAUGGUGUCGUGAUGGGGAUAGAUCAUUGCAAUUAUUGAUCUUGAACGAGGAAUUCCUAGUAAAUGUGAGUCAUCAGCUCACGUUGAUUACGUCCCUGCCCUUUGUACACACCGCCCGUCGCUCCUACCGAUUGAGUGAACCGAUGAGUAGUCCGGAUUGCGAUCGACCUCGGUUAAUCGCGAGAAGUUCCGCAAAUCACUUCACUUAGAGGAAGGAGAAGGCGUAACA